GUAAAAAAUUCCUGUAAAUUUACGAUGAAAAUAAACAGCAAAAUACUGUUUUAAUGUAAAAACAGCAAGUUGCCAUUUUUUACAAUGCAUCAUGGGAAGACUUGCUCACUUCAGUUUGAGUGGUUGAGCAACAACAGUAAGGGCACUGUAAUUUAACGGUUUUAUACCAUAUUUUUUUCUGUGUACACAAGACGCCAUUUUGGAUUAUCUACAUGAGGUAAGUUUGCAGCUCCAAAUGUGACUAACUAUCUGUAAAGUACCUGUUAUUUUUUAAAAUCACAUGUAAACAUCCAAUAAACACACAACUGCAACAAUGAUUUGACUGUGUGAAUUUGAAAAGCAAGAUUAGCAUAAGGACUCGGUAACGUUAGUCCUCACAUCUCCUGGAGCCUGGAUGGAUAUUUUACCUGAACUUUUAGGAACAGUGCAAAUGUUGAUAGUUAUAAUUUGUGGUUACAUGAACUGGUACAUUGCCCUGCAUUUUAUGACAGAUUUGAACUGCGUGCCUCUGUUUGAAACUCCAAGGUACUUACAAGAAAGGAUAAUUGGAUAAUUUGGAUAUUUUCGACGAGGAUCCGACCGUGUGAAUGUCUUGAGAAGAGAAAGGGGGUAACUUUAGCCUAAUUUAGCAAGCUAACGAUAGCUGGAGGACUCAUUUUCACAUCACACACAGAUACACCUUUUCAUUUGCAACUCCGGUGCUUCUAAAAAUAACAUUUUAAGAUUGAGUGAGACCUUUGUUAUUUUUACGUUAUUGCAGUUGGUUUAUAUAGAAAUUGACUAGAGUUACGAUCAGAUUUUAUGCUUGGUAAUGUUACCUAAAGUGGCAGAGCUUUUAAUCUUUUUGAUAAUGUGAGUAAGGAGUAACUGCUAUUAUAAUGAAAAUUCUUUACAAUUCAUUUUUGACCAAUAGAUGUCUGCCACCACUGCUAAUCUUGAAAAGAUGGGUAACCUGCCUGUGACUCCUCAUUUGAUUCUUCCUGGUUCAGAUGAUACUUUGGGCCAGUGGAUAAAACAAUGGAUGAUCAGCAUGGAAGGCAAAGUAAUCUGUGAGGGAGAGCAUGCACACUGGAAUUCCUUCAAAGAUGCUUUGCUGGCAUAAAUCCAGAGAGGGGAACCAAGGCUGUGAGAGGAAAUGUGACGUCAAAAAAAACUGGCAAGACAGUUCAGAAGAAGACCAUGACUGUAAACCCCAAGGUUUCAAACCUUUUAAAGAAACUAAUGGACUUUGAAUGGGACUUUAUUUAAAAUGCAGCUAGCUUGAACCCCCUACUUUUGCAACACAGAGGCCUUUUUUUCUUUAUUUGCUGAAGCUCAUUUUGGGGCUAUAUAUUUUUAUAUUUUAUAUCCAAGACUAAAUUGUAAAGUGGCUAUUUAUAAAUUUUUUCUAUGACAUUCAGUAAGUUGCUUCUUGUUGUACAAUGCUGAAUAUGAUCUUAACAUUUCUGGAGAACUUACAAUUUUUGCCUGUUCUUUGGCUUAAUGUUUUCACAAACACAAUGCAGAUUUUAUUUUGUGUUGUUUGAAAAUAAAAAAUGUGAAAUAUAACUUGGAUUUAUUUCUCUUUUUGAAUCAUUUUAAUCUGAAAUAAUAUGGUUAAAUAUGGAUUGUAAUUUAACAGCUGUAUGCUUCUAAAUAACAGAUGCAUGCUGUAGAUAAAAUGUAAAAAAGGUAGGGCACUGUAUUUUUACAUUAGAAUAACAGUGGUAUGCUGUAUCUUACAAAACAGUAUCAUGCUGUUAAUUUAAAAUGGUAGGGCACUGUAUUUUUACAGUUCCACAACAGUAGAAUACUGUUGCUAACAAAAACAGUAUCAUGCUGGUAAUUUAAAAAACGGUAGGGCACCAUAUUUUUACAGUAUGAUAAUGGCAACCACAGCUGCCAGUAGAUUACCGUUUUUUU